UUCGGCGCACGCUCGGCGAGACCAAUCCUCUCUGCAACAUCACAAAAGACAGUUGGCAAGAAGCUAGACACAGUGGAAGACAGUUCCCUGACAACCUUGACGUGCCGUCAGCGCUGCAAGGCUGUUUAUUCAGAACAUGCUGCGUAUCAGAGUGCUGGAGGACUCUGUGGAAUGCGGAGUUUUUGUCAUCAACAUCUAUUGUGGAGACUCAGUUCUGCUGGGAUUGUGGAGCAGGAAGCCCCCUUUCCAUAACGGCCAGGUGGAGCAGACGGACGUCAGGUGGGACACAGAGCGAUGCUCAGAGCUGGACUUUGUCCUGCGGGCCCUGCACCGCGCACCGAACCUCCCCAACAGCCACUACUGGCUCCCCUUUGUGCUCGCACUGUGCCUGGACGCUCUGUCCUUCCGCUUCCGCCUGCCAGCCCGAGCCCUGAGCAGUAAAGACAUCCAGGACCUCUUAGAGGAACGUGGCGAACUGAUGCUGCAGCGCUGAGGAACCCGAUGCAGAAAGGAAAACUCAUCUCUGGUAAGUCUAACUGAAGAAGACGCAAGGCUGAGACAUCACCGAAGGUGAGGUGUGGGUUUUUUGCAAACACCAGAUUCCAAUACUCACCAUCAUAGGUGAAGUAAGCCCCAUCCUUGAAGACUACAACUGCAGGAAGCUCUGGCAAAGCCACAGACUGGUGACAACACAUAAAAAAAAAUAUGAUUUAAAAUCAAACUCCAUUAAUUCUCUUUUCCUUUGUUAAUUUAUGGUCACCUGGAAUGUGUGAUAUGGGACCGUUGGCAACAGGCCACCACAGCCAAUUGUGGACCUCAUCCAAAGUAGUGCUGCAAUAGGCAAUGAUAUAUAGUAUAUACGCAUGCACACACGCACACGUACACGCACGCACACACACGCACACACGCAUGCGCGCGCGCACACACACACACACACACACACACACCUGAAUUUGAUGUGCAUCUUACUAUUGAUGUCUGCUAUUUAGUGACAGCAUUGCUAGAGACUGGAAAUUCAUAUCUUUUAGUAAACAAUAAUAAUAAAUGUGAUUCUCACUGGCUAGAAACAAAAUGUAAGGCAAUUAAGCACAAAACCGUUUAUGUAUGAUUUGCAUCCUUGAACUUUGACUAUUUGGAGCCAUGUCUUUUUCCUUUUUUGGGGUGGGAUUUUUCCCUCUUUUGCUCCCCAGCUGUACCCAUCCAAUCACCCCACUCUUCCGAGCCGUCCCGGUCGCUGCUCCACCCCAUCUGCCAAUCUGGGGAGGGCUGCAGACUACCACAUGUCUCCUCCGAUAUAUGUGGAGUCGCCAGCCACUUCUUUCCACCUGACAGUGAGGAGUUUCACCAAGGGGACGUAGUGCAUGGGAGUAUCACGCUAUUCCCCCCCAGUUCCCCCUCCCGCCCGAACAAGUGCCCCGACUGACCAGAGGAGGCGCUAGUGCAGCGACCAGGACACAUACCCACAUCCAGCUUCCCACCUGCAGACACGGCCAAUUGUGUCUGUAGGGACGCCCGACCAAGCCGGAGGCAACACGUGGAUUUGAACCGGUGAUCCCCAUGUUGGCAGGCAACGGAAUGGACCGCUACGCUACCCGGACGCCCCAGUUAUUUAUUUUGAUGAGAAUGAAACCUGAAAAUUUGCAUUAGAUAAAACCGUGCAAUUAUUCACUGAUUUAGUGUAUCUGCAUUGAAAUAAAGAACUUUCCA